rnacentral:rRNA from 1 species
GACGAACGCUGGCGGCGUGCCUAAUACAUGCAAGUCGAGCGAACUUGAUGGAGUGCUUGCACUCCUGAGAGUUAGCGGCGGACGGGUGAGUAACACGUAGGUAACCUGCCUGUAAGACUGGGAUAACCCACGGAAACGUGAGCUAAUACCGGAUAGGCGAGACUCCCGCAUGGGGGAUUCGAGAAAGGCGGUUCUGAUUUAUCAGGGCUGCCACUUACAGAUGGACCUGCGGCGCAUUAGCUAGUUGGUGAGGUAACGGCUCACCAAGGCGACGAUGCGUAGCCGACCUGAGAGGGGGAUCGGCCACACUGGGACUGAGACACGGCCCAGACUCCUACGGGAGGCAGCAGUAGGGAAUCUUCCGCAAUGGACGAAAGUCUGACGGAGCAACGCCGCGUGAGUGAUGAAGGCCUUCGGGUCGUAAAGCUCUGUUGCCAGGGAAGAACGGCUUGGAGAGUAACUGCUCCAAGAGUGACGGUACCUGAGAAGAAAGCCCCGGCUAACUACGUGCCAGCCGCCGCCGUAACAC